UAAGCUCGGCAUAGCCUUCCCAGUUAUAAUUCAUAGGUCCAUCUUUCUCCACCAAUCCCCACCAAGCAUCCACCAUCACACCUUCCACACCAGCUCCUUUCAGGGCCAUCAAACUAGCGUUCAUGGCUCGUGGUUUGUUCAAAUGCCCUGACAUUGUUACUGUGUCGAGCGGUAACAUGACGAACACCGGAACGCUAGCGUCGUUCUUGGAGUGUGGGUAUGAGAGAACGUGGAGCUUCUCCCAUUUCUCAAGGGUUUCACCUUCUGGCGUGAAGGUCUUCUCGUGAGUGAACUUCAUUUCCUUAACCGAGUUCUUUGCUUGGAAUUGAUAUGUUGGCGGCUUCAUCUUCGCAAAGGUCAUGUUGUUGGAGGAACUUUCUUGGUUUCUAGAACUCUUGGCAUCUUUACGUUUGAUAAGAGAACUCGAGGAAUUCAGUGUCAAUUCCAUAGUUUUUUUCUCUCUCUUUGUUAUGAUGAGAAAUGAGGUAGAGAAUAGAGCUGUUGGUGUUUGAUAGAAG